AUGGGAAAAGCUUUUUUUUUAUCAGACUUACCGUUACCGUGUGAACUAAUUUUUUCCGAGACUGUUACUUACAGUUCUCGUAAGCACACAAGGCGAUGUGAGAGAGACUCAACAGAAUUGCUCGGCGUGGAAUCUGUUAGCAUACAUAAUCUUUUCUCACUUUGCUGGUUAUAUGUAAUGUGUAUGAUCUCUAGUCAUGGGUUGUUUGCGUUGGGCAUAAUAGAGUAUAAUCUUCUUCCUUUAAGUUUGGUGUGUUUCAUUUGUGUUGUAAUAGUAAGUGCUAGCAACUUGUGCAAAUUAUGA
rnacentral:rRNA from 1 species